rnacentral:rRNA from 1 species
CCUACGGGAGGCAGCAGUAGGGAAUAUUGGGCAAUGGAGGCAACUCUGACCCAGCCAUGCCGCGUGCAGGAAGAAGGCGUUAUGCGUUGUAAACUGCUUUUAUAUAGGAAGAAAUAGACCUUGCGAGGUAAGUUGACGGUACUAUAUGAAUAAGCACCGGCUAACUCCGUGCCAGCAGCCGCGGUAAUACGGAGGGUGCAAGCGUUGUCCGGAUUUAUUGGGUUUAAAGGGUGCGUAGGCGGUUUAUUAAGUCAGUGGUGAAAGACGGUCGCUCAACGAUUGCAGUGCCAUUGAUACUGGUAGACUUGAGUGGGAUUGAGGUAGCUGGAAUGGAUAGUGUAGCGGUGAAAUGCAUAGAUAUUAUCCAGAACACCAAUUGCGUAGGCAAGUUACUAAGUCUCAACUGACGCUGAGGCACGAAAGUGUGGGUAUCAAACAGGAUUAGAUACCCUGGUAGUCCACACUGUAAACGAUGAUAACUAACUGUUGGCUUUCGGGUCAGUGGUACNGAGAAAUCGUUAAGUUAUCCACCUGGGGAGUACGCCGGCAACGGUGAACUUAAAUGAAUUGAGCGNGAGAGNGCGAGCGACGACGAGGGAGGAGG